CCUACGGGAGGCAGCAGUCGAGAAUCAUUCACAAUGGGGGAAACCCUGAUGGUGUGACGCCGCGUGGGGGAAUGAAGGUCUUCGGAUUGUAAACCCCUGUCAUGUGGGAGCAAAUUAAAAAGAUAGUACCACAAGAGGAAGAGACGGCUAACUCUGUGCCAGCAGCCGCGGUAAUACAGAGGUCUCAAGCGUUGUUCGGAAUCACUGGGCGUAAAGCGUGCGUAGGCUGUUUCGUAAGUCGUGUGUGAAAGGCGCGGGCUCAACCCGCGGACGGCACAUGAUACUGCGAGACUAGAGUAAGGGAGGGGGAACCGGAAUUCUCGGUGUAGCAGUGAAAUGCGUAGAUAUCGAGAGGAACACUCGUGGCGAAGGCGGGUUCCUGGACAUUAACUGACGCUGAGGCACGAAGGCCAGGGGAGCGAAAGGGAUUAGAUACCCUGGUAGUC
rnacentral:rRNA from 1 species